CACCGAGCUACAUACGCACAGUUUACACUGGAUCGGGAGGCAUUUUCUUGUCAGGCAGUAACAGAUUUUGUGCAAUUAUAUAUAAACUUCAUUAAACACGCAGAUUGACCCGGUGACAUUCGUGUAAAUAUAGACGUGUUAUUUUAAAUUUCUUAUUAAUCCAUUCAAAUAAGUCUCCCCCUUAACUCCCUGGAGCUGCUGCUACUUCAGCUUGCCUUGCACUGCCAGCUUUGGUGGCAUUGCUCAGGUUGUGAUCCUGUGUCAGAGGCCGCAUGUUGGUACAAGAGUUCACCCCGCAGCGUGUCUGACUGCAUAAUCCAGCCACUCUGUUCGGAGGAAAAAGCCUGCCCCCCACUGCACCCCGCCCCAAUCUGCUUGCCUGCUUUACACAUUCUAACACAAGCAUGCCAUGACUACAACAAAGGUGAGCAGAAGAUGGUAAUUAAAAAUUAAAGCAGACAAGAGGUGGCUGGAUACACCUCUUUUAACAGCAGUUCAACUGGAGUGGAGAAGAAAAAAACACAUGGAUAACAACCUCCUUUCACUGGCUCUCUUACCCUGACUAAUUAAGGACUAUCCCCCGCCGUCAAGGAUCGUUUGGUACAACUAGACCUACCGACCGACUUGGACACUCUCAUCAAGUGAUCGCCGUAAAAAUCGACAAAAGGCUUUUGGAUCACGAGCUGGACGGAGUUCGGCGGAGGGCUGCGUCACCGCGCACUUGGAGGACGAUCCUCGGUGACCAGCCAAACCAAGGCAGAUCCCCUGUUUCCAGUCUCAAACCACUGGGUAGCAUCACUACGGAAGAACCCAUGCAACUGGGGAGGUUCCAUCUCUCCCCUGAGGAAUGUCAACGCCGGCUGAGGGUAAGGCAGUGCUUCUACUGCGGGCAGUUGGGUCAUUCGUGAAAAACUGUCACGUCAAGGUUGCCGGUGCCAGAAGCAAGGGUACGGGAGAGGUGAGUCUGAAUUUCAUUAAGGAAGACCCUGCCCGGGUUCUUCCUAAAGUGACACUAUGCUCUCCUGAUCAAGAAAUUCAUACACCUGUAUUAAUUGACUGACGCAAACCUACUCAACUCCCUCCUCGUUAGACGGAUGCACCUUAGAACCUUUCAAAUAAAAUUCCGUCUGCAACAUAGUUUAACCGAGAGGCUGAACCAGGACCUGGGGACUGGGCUCUGAUGUCUCGCUGCACAGGAGCUACAAUCCUGGUCUCAGAAACUGGUUUGGGUCGAGUUUUCUCACAAUUCCCUCCCCUCUGCAUCCACUGGUCUAUCGCCUUUUCACGUUGUGCAUGGUUACCAACAAUCUCUGUUUACUGCCAUAGCCCCAGAAUCCAUUGACCUUGGUGAGACGCUGCAGGAACGAGUCCGCCAGAUGCCGCUGCGCCAGGGACGGUCCUACAAAACCGCAGCUGAACGUAGGAGGACACCGGCCCCGAACUACAAAGUGGGUCAGCGAGUUUGGCUCUCUACCAAACAUAUUCCACUCCGGGUGGAGUCCAAGAAGCUUGCUCCCAGGUUCGUGGGGCCCUUCCCCAUCACAAAGAUCAUCAACCCGGUCACCAUGAAGCUUUGGCUCCCAAGGUCACUGUGGGUCCACCCUGCUUUUCACGUCAGCCUGCUCAAGCUCGCCUGGGAGUCUCCUCUGGUCCCGCCUUCCAAGACCCCACCUCCUCCCCGGUUCGUGGAUGGGGGCCCUGUCUUCACUAUGAGGCGACUGUUGUCGUCUCGUCGGAGAGGGAGUGGAUUUCAAUAGUUGGUCGACUGGGAGGGCUAUGGGCCUGAGGAACGUUCAAGGGUGCAUUUAUUGUGGAUGACUCACUCAUUGGGGACUUCCAUGUUGCGCAUCCUGGGGCUACGGGGCCGUCUGGGGCCGGCCGUUAAGGGGCGGGUACGGUCAUUAAAAUUACGUAAUAGACAUGUUAACCUAUGACUAUUGAAUCAACAUUUUACAAAAAACAUCUAUGUUUUUUUUCUACAUUUUAAAGUGUGCUGAUAACCACCAAUUCAUAUUAACUCUUCCUUGUCAGGACUCCCAAAUCCUGAUGUAUGGCUGGCUGGAUAGAUGGAUAUAUGGAUACCGUCCACAUCAAACUAAAAGCACCACUUUCAAAAUAAAAACACAGCAUAUUUUACUUUUUUAUUUUGACUUCAUAAACACUGUGAGGACCUAUAAGAGACUGUGGACGGGCCGGAUGUGGCCCACGGGCCGUACUUUGCCCCAGUAUGCCCUAACCUCAGAAUUGUGAGGCGGACGAGGUAAUUAUUUUUUAAUUACACAAAUCUUUCCUUUUCAGGGUUCAAGUUUGAUUUUUCUCCCUGUGCUUGUGUGGGUAUUCUGGGGGUACUGUGAUUUGCCCCCACAUUCCAAAAACAUGAAUGUUAACUGCCAUCUAAAAUGCCUAUAGGUAACAAUGUGAGUGUAAAUGAGUGUCAAAAUCUGCCCUAUGAUUGAUUGGUGGGGUGGGGGGAGUGGUUUAGUUAAGAAAUGGUUGAUAAGAUGUAUUUUUAUUUUAUUACAUUACAUUUUAUGAUUUUAUUUCUGAUACAGUAUUGUGACCAUUUAAAUGGUAGCUAAAUUGUUAAGAAUGAAUGCCACACUAAAUAAGUACAGUAAACCAAACAGCAUACCGUGCAUUGGUCAGAUUGAUGUCCCUAAAACAUCCGUUUAUAUACACUCCAAAACCUAUCCAAACGAAACUCUGCCACUCAAACUCAGCUGUAUCACAGUCACACUUACUGAGCAUACUAAACACUACUUUUAGUGCACUCAAUACCAUCAGCCUGGAUUUAUGCAAUGACACAAAAAGCCACACACUAUCAUGUGAGAUUUUCCCAUAUAGCCAGUGACCCCAGAACUGGGCCAAUCAAAGCCAGCCUUUUUAUGUCCCUUUGAUUUUUUUUUUUUUCUUUCAUCUUGUCGCUGAUCCCGUUGCAGCUUUUAGAUAAUGCUAAUAGAUCACAGGCCAACAGGACAGAGCAGGAUAAUGGAGCUUUCAUUGCAGCCUGAUUAACUUGGCUGUAGGGUUCCACCUCAACCCUUUCGGCAUGAUGGCUCUAAUUAAUAACGAUUGCUCCCCAAAAUGUGCAAAUGGAACGAUAAACGGAGGGCCAACUAAUUAACUGCAACCAUUUCUACUAAUCAUUAGUUAACAUCCCGUUUUGUCAUCAUUACGCUGGUGCGUGUGCAAGGGCAGAUAAAACAGGUCAGCCCUUUUUUUCUGCCACACCAUAAAGCUCGACAGCCAUAUUUUCCUCCCACAAUAAAAAGACUAACAAGUAAUUAAAGUGAGGGCUGAAGAAAGGUUUGGAAAGUUUCUGUCUCUUAAAUAUCCCCACUGUAGGCGAAGCGUCACCAUUUUCUUAAGGUAGUUGCUAAAAACAUCCUGUUUUCAGAUGAGACUGUUUAUUUCCAGUCAACAGCUGAUAGAUUUAGAAAUAAAGCAGGAAAUUACCAAAACAACUUCAAGACGGACUCUCAGCACUCUGCAUCAUUUGCUGUAGUGUUCCAACUCAUUUAUUUUUGCUAGCAAGGAAAUCACUGUCAGUGAAAUGCUUGGGUUUUUUUUAUUCUUUUUUGUCCUUUGCUAAAAAAUAAGCAGAGGGAGUAUUUCAAACUCCCAUUGCACACUAAAACAGCACAAAAGGCAUACAGAUCCACCAUUCUGCAUGGCCAUGGAGCUGAACACUACACGUUAAAAAAAACAAAAACAUCUGGAAAUUGCACCCAAGGAUGAACCAGACUUGUGCAAGUCCACAAUUCUCUUACUGAAAUAGAGAGAUAAUUUAUUUAUUUUGCCCUUCCCAUUAUGUUACACAAAGAAGCAGUGCGUUUCAGGUGUGCCUAGUUCAAAUACAUCCUCAGGCGUGUCUCUAAUUCACUCAAAUGUUUUCAAUAAACCUAUCAGAGGCUUCCAAAUAAAUGAAAUCAUCAUAUGGGUUUUCCCAAAUUGUUUAAAGGCAUAGUAAUCAUACUGUAUGUAAACUUCUGACUUUGACGAACAUAAUGAAAAAUUGUCUAAAAAAACAUUCUCUCAUUAUUCUGACAUUUAGCAAGAAGAAAUAAUUUUGGUAAUGCUAAUUGACCUAAAACAGGAAACGUUUAGUCUGAUUUCAUGUCAGACAGGGAGAAAAAAAAAGCACAUUUGUCUUUUUAUAUAGUUCAUGUAAACGUCUGGUUUCAACUGUAUAUCAUGAUAUAAUCCUUAUUGUUUUAAGAAUGACAUUGUUUUAAACUGGGUGAUUUCCAUUGCUAUUGGUGUAUCAUACAGGAAUAAAAUAGACAAAAUAUAAAGGUGCUCUCUUACUGAUUAUAAUCAAAAACAAUUUAAUGAACGGCGGCACUGUGAAUAAAUGGUUAGCACAUCCGCCAUGUGUGGAGUUUGCAUGUUCUCCCCGUGCAUGCGUGAGUUUUCUCCGGGUGCUCCAGUUUCCUCCCACAUCCCAAAAACAUGCAGGGUAGGUUAAUUGAAGACUCUAAAUUGCCCGGAGAUGCGAGUGUGAGUGUGAAUGGUUGUUUGUUUAUAUGUGCCCUGCAAUUGGCUGGCGACCAGUUCAGAGUGUACCCCCCUUCUCACCCGAAGAUAGCUGGAAUAGGCUCCAGCAAACCUGUGACCCUAGUGAGGAUAAGCGGUCUUUGGAGAUGUAGCUGUGUUCAGAAUUAACCAGUCACAUUUAAACUCGUGUUAAAUGGGAGUCGGCACACAUUUAAAGUGCCUCUGAUUAAGGCAAAAAAAAUUCAUGUUUCAGUAGGUUUUACCAUCUUUAUUUUUUUUUAAACUUUUGAAUUAUUAUUUUCUAGCAAAGGCCUGAAAGCUUUUUUCCAACAUUGACUGGUAUUUGGAACUGUUCAUAAUUCCCUCCACCUUGACUAAGGCCCCAAUUGCAGCUGAAGAAAAACAGGCCCAAAGCAUGAUGCUGCAACUAUCUGUUAGUAUGGUGUUCUUGUGGUGAUGAGCAGUGAUGUUUGUGCCAAACAUGUAAUCAUCACCAAAAGUUAAAACUUGGUUUCAAAACUCAGGGAGAUCGUAGUGAAGGUGUUGUUCCCUACUCGCACACACUGAGGUCUGUGCAUAAUGAAAUCUAACAGCCAGUUGCACAGGUCAGUCUGGUGGCCAUCCAGGGCACCCGAGGUGAGGUGCUUGGCUGAGCGGUUCAGGAGGUCGUCCAGGACGCCAAGCACCAGGGUCUUUACAGGGCCAUUCAGGCGGACGGCCACGGUGCCGAACCCAAUGGUAAUGCAGGGGCUAGGCAAUAGGGUUGGGUGGCGACCGCUGGACGAGCGCCGCCGGAGCAAGGACGGGUGGCGGCCGCUGGACGAGCGUCGCCGGAGCGGGGACGGGUGGCGGCCGCUGGACGAGC